rnacentral:sRNA from 1 species
CAUACAGACAGAGUUGUCGUCCUUUCCUCCUCAAUCAAUCUCCCGUACAGACAGAGUUGUCGUCCUUUCCUCCUCAAUCUGAUUGAGGAGGAAAGGACGACAACUCUGUCUGUAUG